GGAGUAGUUGUGUUGGUCAAGAUAACCCACAUACAUUGAUUUAGUUAACAAAAGCACUCGUUGGAGUAAAUUUUGAACAGCCAUCUCCAGGUAUGACAAAAAUAACACAAUUGACCCUAUAAGGAUAUACUCUGAAGACAGUGAUGUGCAAGUUCAAGGUUUGACUGUUUUCAGCUGUAACAAAACAAAUUAUCUUAUGAAAGCUGCAACCAUGAGAAUAGGAAAGGAUGUCAAGUCCAAAGAGAAGGCCACAUAUCAAAUGUUUGCUGAAUUCAUGAAGACUAGCUGGGAUGAUUGAGUACUUUUCUACUCUUAUGAACCAUAUCUAAACAUCAUUUGAGGAUCCCUUUCUCAGAAAAAAAGAAUUUGCAUAUUCAAAGACUCUAUAGUUAAUUGUUUACUUGUAUGUUGUUUAAUGUUCUUCUUGAGAAUUUUUCACUCAUAUGGGGACGCCAACAUUUGCCGGUGGAGAGAUGCAAAUUUUGUCCUUUACCUCUGUAUAUACAGUCUCAUAUCUAUGUCCAACUGUGGGAUUUCAAACAAGCAAUUUAGGGAUCAACUCGUUAAUUCAUGACUUCUUGGGCAGAUGCUCUUGCCACUGGGCCAUACAGGUGACUUCAUGUGUUACAGAAUAAUAAGAUAAGAUUUAUAACUUAAAACUGAUAUUUUUAAGCAAAAUGUUUUUGCAAAAAAGGGAGGUAAUAGCUACAUCUAGCUCUCACUGGUAUUGCAUGCUUAAACUAUAUGAAUUACAUACUUUAAUUACACAUUAUUUUAUACCAGAUCAGUAAAGAAAGAAACACGAGAAUAUUUUUACAAUGAAUUUUAUUAUAAGGUUGAUCAUCUUUGAAAAAAAAAUUGAACCUUAAUUUUUUUUGAGUAGGAAGAAAAAAAUUAAAAUAAUUAGAAUGUACAUGUGCACUUAAUUUUGUUUAUCAAAAUAUAUCAAAUUUCGGAGAUCUUGUGAAGGGUAUCUAAAAAUUGAUUUAUAAAGUUUUACUUCAUUUUUAAACAGCAUAAUCUUUAUUAUAACAUAUGCCUGUAAUAUACAACUUAUUUGUUGUUGAACAUUCCAUUGUCUGUCUACAUGUAGU